rnacentral:lncRNA from 1 species
UUUUUCCCAUGGUGUUAUUGGGAAACUGGAACAGUUAAGAACAUGGAAUUAUACAACUGAAGUUCCCAAAACCAGAUUUUCUCAACAACUGGAAAGGAGAUCUUCCUGGGCAAUUUCACCUGUAACUCUGUAGGGGAUGGUCCUUUGCUUCUGGCUGUCAGAGUCAGAUACAUCUCACUGCAUCAUUAAAGAACUGUUUUUUCUUCAUUUGCAAGCCAAGAUCCAAUUUUAAUGCCUCUAUUAUUGUAACCUGUCAGAAAAAGAGAUGAUCCAGUGAAGAAUCUGAUAAUAAACUUCCUUUAAAUUGGAAACUGGAAGAUGGG